ensembl:lncRNA LINC02849 long intergenic non-protein coding RNA 2849
AUAAGGGGACAUGUAUGUGGCAAAGAAGGUGAAGAUUCCACUGGGAGUCCAGGAUUCCUGAUGGAGGCCAGGAAGCAAAGGUACUUGGAGGUCAGAGUGGCCGGAGCCUAUCCCAGCAGCUCAGCGAGCAAGGCAGAAACCCACCCUGGACAGGAUGCCAUCCCAUGGAAUAUCUAGAGAGCUGGAAAAGCAUCACUUCUGGGUGUGUCUGUGAGGGGGUUUCCAGAGGAGAUUGGCAUGAGUCAGUGAACUGUGUGGAGCAGAUUUGCCCUCAAUGUCAGCAGGCAUCAUCCAAUCAGCUGGGAGCCUGGAUAGAACAGAAGACAGAGAAAAGGUUGACAUAAAUGUGUCCAGAAGCAGGACCUGAAGCAAGAGCACUUUUAGAAGGAAUCUGCGAUUCUUGGAACUGGUGUGCAGUAUUCACUUGAGAUCUCUGAGCUCGCCACGUGCAUGCCUUGUCUUUUCUGACCUGGUGAAUCUUCUCUUAGGCUGAGUCUCUUUUUGGUAGAGGCUUUUUGACUUUCUUCAGGAUUUGGUUUGGUACUAAGGCAGCCUUAAAUAAAGGAACUUGCAUCCCUCUUAAAACUAUGGAAGUUUUGGGGGUUUGUUUGUUUGUUUUGCAAACGCUUUCUGGUGUAAAGAUAAGAGUACUCUAGUUUUUACAGAAUUUAUAUUGUUUCUCAGGCAUGACUUUUCUGGUGAAUUCACAUUGGUUCUGGACACCUAGUUUAAUGUUUUGUUUGGUCUGCAUACAUGGGUUAAAGUUUUUGUGAACACUCUGAUUUUGGUUUAGUUACACAUGUCUGUAAGUAACUUGGAUCUUCUUUUCUCUAGCUUAUUUCUGAAAAGCUUCUGAGAGCGAAAAUAUACAUCCUAAAUGGCGGACACAGAAUGACUAAUUUAAAAAGCGAAUACCUGAAACACUAGUCCAAAUUCCUGACAUUCUCUGACAGGAUUUAUGGGAUUUUCUUUGCUCUUGAGAGAUUAAUAAGAAAGAAAGUGAGAUUCUCAAACAUUAAGGCAUGCCAGGUUUUCUGAGACUCCAGCUGGCUACAUAUGAUGGCCUGUUCUCAUGCACAUUUUUAAACUAAUGAGCAAACUUUCCUUCAUGUCAAGGAAAAUUCAGAGCUCAAUGGCCAUUAUUCAAACUCUCUAAGCUUGUUAAAAAUCUACAACCAACCAUAGAGUUAACAUGCAGAGCUUUCUAAGUUCUCAAUCUCUCUAUUUUUCCUUCUGGCUAUUUUGAAUCUGCUAAUUUUCUACUAGUGUUGAGAUAAACUCACUGCUUAUGGCACACCAGACAAGAUUUAAAAAAAAAAGUUUCAAAGAUUUUUUUUUAAAUUAAUGGCUGUACAAAUUACAACAGCUCCAUGGCAACAAACAACCUACACAUCUUUUGGGAAUUAGGUUUUUUGACUUAGCAAUUGCUUGGAGUAACAGAAUAGUUAAAUGAAUAUUUAUAUUCUAAAAGAAAGGAGGCUGGGUGUGGUGUCUCACGCCUAUAAUCCCAGCACUUUGGGAGGCCAAGGUGGGCAGAUCACAAGGUCAGGAGUUCAAGACCAGCCUGGCCAAAGAGACCAGCGUGACUAACAUGGUGAAACCUUGUCUCUACUAAGAAUACAAAAAUUAGCCAGGUGUGGGGGCAGGUGCCUGUAAUCCCA